GAGAUUGUAACUGAUAUCUUUGCUUACUGAAAAGAUAAGUCGUCUCCUAUGGUGUUUUAGCUGUAAACCUUUCAUCUUGGAGGCUCUUGUAGUUAAUUAAGGAACAUUAGAAGAACUCCGGAUACCAUUAAAUUAUGAAAUUAUGGAGCAUUGGUUGUAUUAGUCCUCAUUUGCCCUGUAAAGUAGCUGUGCCCAUGGUUCUAAAGAAAGCAUGAAAGUGCCUUUUAUUCAUUGGGAGCGAAGACAGUGUGCUGAAAAAAGGAUUUAUGAUGAUGAACUGAUAACUUCAGUUUCUUAGACAUUUGUAACUUGCUUCAAUAGA